UAUAAGAAAAAUAGCAAAACCUAUCUAAAUCAUAAGAGAAGUAUGCGGGGGUGGUACGCGUCGAUCCAUUGGGUCAUUGGCCCGCCCCACAAACGUGGCUUCGCUGGAUCAUCGGGUAGCCCUCGCACAGGCAGCCGCGCAAGGGUUCCUCGACGCCGAUGCCGCGCCGCCCCCUCCUCCGGCUCUGCAACGCCGUUACCUCCUCCUCCGGUUCUGCCGCCGACAUGCCGUCAUCCUCUGCAACCUCCGUCUUGCCUCGUUUGGAUCUGCGACCAGAGUAGGAACAUGGAGGUGUCUCAGAUGCAAAAAAGAAUGGAGUAUGAAGAUAAAGAGGAGCGGUAGCGGCACCGCCACACACCCAUUGCGCAAGAAGGUGCAAAGAAAUUACUGUUGUCACCGGUGGCAAGGGAUACUCUGGUGAGGUCUCCAGCAGCAAGAUUACCAUAACAAGGUCUCCCUUGUCAGCUCUGAGUACUAUAGGCACUGGGCAUAGGCAUCAGUACAGGGGAUAACAGCUCUGAACCUUAGCUUUAACUAAAAGUUCAGUAUUGUACCAUCUGUAUAAUUAUUGAUUCAUUUGUGUUUGUUCCCUAUAUGAACUGACCACUGCAACAAAUGUAUAGUGCUUUAACUAACCUCAUCUUUGUAUAAUUACUGAUAUGGACAGGGCCAUGCGCGUCUCUUAUCAUCGGGCACUAUAUUAUUAGUACUA